CCUACGGGAGGCAGCAGUAGGGAAUCUUCCACAAUGGACGAAAGUCUGAUGGAGCAACGCCGCGUGAGUGAAGAAGGGUUUCGGCUCGUAAAGCUCUGUUGGUAGUGAAGUAAGAUAGAGGUAGUAAGUGGCCUUUAUUUGACGGUAAUUACUUAGAAAGUCACGGCUAACUACGUGCCAGCAGCCGCGGUAAUACGUAGGUGGCGAGCGUUGUCCGGAUUUAUUGGGCGUAAGGCGAGUGCAGGCGGUUCAAUAAGUCUGAUGUGAAAGCCUUCGGCUCAACCGGAGAAUUGCAUCAGAAACUGGUGGACUUGAGUACAGUAGAGGAGGGUGGAAUUCGAUGUGUAGCGGUGGAAUGCUUAGAUAUAAGGAAGAACACCGAUUGCGAAGGCGGUUCUCUGGACUGCAACUGACACUGAGGCUCGAAAGUAUGGGUAGCGAACAGGAUUAGAUACCCGUGUAGUC
rnacentral:rRNA from 1 species